rnacentral:lncRNA from 1 species
AGGCUCUGUGAAGCUGGUGACCCCGGAGGGGUCCCCAGUCCGGGGACUUCGCACACCUGAGAUCCCCAUGACCGAAGCGGUGGAGGCCGUGGCUAUGGUUGGAGGUCAGCUUCAGGCCUUCUGGAAGCAUGGAGUGCAGGUGUGGGCUCUAGGCUCGGAUCAGGCCUGUAGUGGUGGAGACACGCCCAGUGGAUGAUCCUACUGCUCCCAGCAACCUCUACAUCCAGGAAUGAGUCCCUAGGGGGGGUGUCAGGAACUAGUCCUUGCACCCCCUCCCCCAUAGACACACUAGUGGUCAUGGCAUGUCCUCAUCUCCCAAUAAACGUGACUUUAG